GUCCGUCCGGUCCGGAGAACAACGCUCUGAACUUGACCAGAGAACGGGACUUGAGCAUGCAACUAAAGAGAGAGAGAGAGGGGAAAAGGAAAUACCAUUCUUACUAAUCUCUUUCUUCCCAAAUCACCAACUGCGCGAGAAUUUUUUGCUGUUGCAAUGGACGUUUGGGCCGGGCUCUGCUUGUUUGGAACAACACUCAACCCACUCCCCCAUCUUCAUUCAGCUCUUUUUUCUCCAUCCCAAUGACUUCCUGCUUGAAGAGUGGGAUGAGAGAAAGAAAAAAGGAGAAAGAGAACAGCAAAACAGCAGGAAGCAAGCGUUUAACAGGAGGAUGCCGACACCCUCAUCCUGUCGUGUGCCGGCUUGGUUCAGGUGCUCUGGGCCAAUCAGCUCCCUCUGCUCCAUUUACCUCAGGGUGUGCCGAAUUUGGCUGAGAAGGUGCACCUUUCCAUCAUGACCCCCUCUGGAGGAAGUAUAAUGUUUCUGGAAAGAAAAGGAGGUCCGCAGGAGCCAAGUGUACAGGCUCAUAAUAGAGCGUUAAACCCCCUCACCACCCAACAGAGACAUAAAAGUGAACAAAGAAUAAAGAAUGCGUGGAGUGUUAGGUUAUGUGCUGAUUAUUUCCCUUGAUUUUUACUGCUGCAGAGGGAGAAGCUAAGCAAACAGUCCAGCCCAGCGUUUGGUUCUUGGCAUUCCACUUGAAGGUCUUAUUAUAGACAAAAUCAGACAAAACCCACUUUGGAAAAGAAAAACCCUGCUGUGUGUUGCUUGGCAUGCAACCACACAAAUGAUUACCUCCUCUAAAAUUGAAUUUCCAUGUAAAAGGGUCACUAUUGCCAAUAAAUUCACUGGUAUGCAA